rnacentral:ncRNA from 1 species
CAAAAGCUUGGUCCUGGCUUUGUUGUCAGCUUUAACUUAAUUUACACAUGCAAGUAUCCGCGCCCCUGUGAGGAUGCCCUACAGUUCCCUGACUGGGAACAAGGAGCUGGUAUCAGGCACAUCUUUCGAUCGUUGCGCCCUCCAUCCUACUCUUCCCCCCCCCCCCGCGCCGCCCAAAACACCUUGCUUUGCCACACCCUCAAGGGAACUCAGCAGUGAUAGAUAUUAAGCCAUAAGUGAAAACUUGACUUAGUUAAGGUUUAGAGGGCCGGUAAAAUUCGUGCCAGCCACCGCGGUUAUACGAAAGGCCCAAGUUGACCACCACCGGCGUAAAGCGUGGUUAGGUUUAUGUACAAUAUGACUAAAGUCGAACUCCUUCAAGGCCGUUUAACGUGUUCGAAAGGGAGAAGCACAACUACGAAAGUGACUUUACAAACCUGACUCCACGAAAGCUAAGGCACAAACUGGGAUUAGAUACCCCACUAUGCUUAGCCCUAAACAUAGAUAGAAUGCCACCCUUCUAUCCGCCCGGGUACUACGAGCAUUAGCUUAAAACCCAAAGGACUUGGCGGUGCUUUAGACCCAUCUAGAGGAGCCUGUUCUAGAACCGAUACUCCCCGUUAAACCUCACCCCUCUUUGUCUCUUCCGCCUAUAUACCGCCGUCGUAAGCUUAUCCCGUGAGGGUCUAGUAUUUAGCUUAAUCGGCACAGCCCCAAACGUCAGGUCGAGGUGUAGCUAAUGGAGGGGGAAGAAAUGGGCUACAUUUCCUCGCGACAGGAAAUACGGAUAACGUACUGAAAUACGCGUUUGAAGGUGGAUUUAGUAGUAAGCAGUAAACAGAGUGUGCUGCUGAAACUGGCUCUGAAGCGCGCACACACCGCCCGUCACUCUCCCCAAGCAACUUUUUAAUCUUUUUAAAUAAAAUCCCGCCUUUGCAAAGGGGAGGCAAGUCGUAACAUGGUAAGUGCACCGGAAGGUGUACUUGGACUAAC